GCCAGCUGGCCUCAGGCCCAGCAAACAGGCCCUGGCACUGCUUAAUGGACUGGAAUAGACACCUCCAGGGUGUCCAAGGCCACGGGAACAGAGCCAGGAAUAGGCUGUGUGACUUCUUUCUCUAGGACUGGUGGGCUCAGGGAAACAGUGGUGGGGGAACAGAGCUCAGGGUGUUGGUUUGUGUUUGUAGUUUGAUAUCUGUAGUUUUCCACAGGCUGCAAAUAUAAUGUGGAGAGAAGGGCAAACUGAUAAAAAGGGAUGCUUUGAAAAUAAUGGGGUUUAUAUUUGUGUUCCCUUCUUCCAAGGUCUGAAGAACAGAGAUGCAUGAGAUGGGUGCAUAAAGGGGACAUAAUUUCCAAUCCUGACGAGCUCCUGCAAUGAACACUGAGGCAGAGUAAAAUCUCUGGGGAGGAAGGUGGGAAUCUUGUGAGGGUGGGGAGGCCCUGGCACAGGGUGCCCAGAGAAGCUGUGGCUGUCCCUGGAUCCCUGGAAGUGUCCAAGGUCAGGUUGGAUGGGCUUGGAGCAAACUGGGAUAGUGGAAGGUGUCCCUGUCCAUGGCAGGGUUGUUUUUGUUUUGUUUUGGUUGUGGUUUUUUGUUGGUUGUUUUGGGGUUUUUUGUGGUGGUUUUUGUUUGUUUGUUUGUGGUUUUUGGGUUUUUUUUGGGGGGUGUUGUUGUUGUGUUGGGGUUUUUUUUGGGGUUUUUUUUUGUUGCUUUGGUUGUGGGUGGUGGGGUUUUUGUUUGUUUUUUGUUUGUUUGUUUUGUUUGUUUGUUUUUGGUUUUGGUUUUGGUUUCUUUUUUCUGUGAAAAGGUUUUUAAGGUCUUUUCCAACCCAACCACUCUGUGACUCUGUGACUUCUUGAGGAGGACACACAGGAAUUUUUGGGUGGGUGAGCACAAAGCCACACAGCAAAGGCACCAGGAGCUAGAGCUCAUCCCACCAUCUCCUUGUGUCCUUCUGCAGGGAACAACAACAUGGGAAUAGAGAUCACAGGAGCUGAGAGCCCAGGCCAGUGUAUUACUGGCUCCUACAUGUCCUCCUGGAGUUCCCAACCAAACAUCUCCUCCCACAGAAGCUGCUCCAGGCACCAUGGAUGGUGAGGAAUGCCACAGGAACAGCCCGGGAUGCUGGGGCGGCCAGCAAGAAGGCAACUUUGGGUGAUGUCAAACCAAGAGAAGACUCAGAUCCCUUCCCUACGAUCACUGCUCCAGGCAGGAACCAGGAAAAUCCCGGCAGCACGGCUGGAAAGGCGGCUUGUAGCAGCUCUCUGCGGCUUGAGAGCUUGAGGCUCAAGGUGAAACGCGUGCCUCGUGGUCGGAGGCCGGGAGAAGAUUUGGGGAAGGCUGCCAUCUCUUGGAUAACUGCAAAACAGCGGCACCGGCCUGGGAAAUGCUGCUCACGCCCCCGAGGGAUGCCAGCUCCAGCCUUGCUCUCGGAGAAGCGCAGGCUGAAGUUAUUCCCGCUCUGCUCGUGCCCCCCGCAGGCCGAGCCGCGUCUUUAUUUAGGGCAAACUGGGAUCAGAGCUGGGAAUGAGCUGAUUUUCCGUCUGUCUCACCGUGCCUUUCGGCAGUGGCUGCCUCUGUGCACAUCUGGAGUUUUACUUGAACCACCUUCCACCCUCGGUCCUGCAGGUCACACACGGCUGGGAGAGGUGCCACUCGACUUGGGACAGCCUUUUUUGGGUCUCCCUGCCCAUCCCAGCUGUGCUCAGGCAUGGGAGGAUGAUCAAGCCCACAAACACCGGGAAUAUUUGCUCCAAACAAAAUAACAGAAAAGACCCAAGCACUUGGAACAAGGCAAGGAAUUCCAGUAACGCCCUGUGCCCUAAAAUCAACAGGAUUCAUGCAGGGCUUAUGCUCUUAGAGGAGGUGAAGCUAAGCUGGGGCUCCUAAGCCAUCACUCCUUGGAUAUUAGAGAAGGAAAGAGCGUGGGGGAGGUGGCUGGGAUGGAGAAAUAGGGAAUGGCUUAGCAAUGCCAGCUUUUAGAGUGUCAUGGAGGCUGGUGACUGUGAUUCCCCUGGGGAAAGAGUGGUCUGGUAGGAGGGAAGGACUCGUGGGCUUCACGGAGAGCUGAAAAAGAGGCAAAGUGAUGUUAUUGCCCUCAAAACUGUUCUGCUUUUCAGCUGG